UUGAAGGCAACAAAACUCACUUUCGAUACGUUGGGGGUGAGAUUAUCACUGUUACUUAUGUGAAUUCAGACAAGAUUAAUGUUUCGAUCUAAAAGAUGGAUUGAAAAGUCAAGCUCGGCAUAUCAAGGAAGCAAAGUUAUAUUACAAGAAGCCGUCUCAAGAAGGUGCUGAUGCAUAUUGGAUUAUAGUGGAUGACAAACAUGUUAGGAACAUGUGUGCAACAUAUAUGGGGAUGGACGUUUAUGACAUUUAUGUGGAGUUCGUUGUGAUUGAUGAGAGCGAGUAUGUUGAGACUAAUGUUGAUGGGUCAGAUAAAUCUAAUUUAAAUUACGCUGAAGAUGACUUAACAAGCGAGUUCGAAAAUAGUAAUU
rnacentral:lncRNA from 1 species